AGGACCUCUUAGAGAAAAUCUGGAAUACGUUGUAUAAUCAUUCAUGUAGCCCUAAGAGGUUUGGGGGGACCUCUCAGACAGCUUUGCGACAGUGCGUCGUGCAACACCUCCCAGAGCAAGUUGCUACGUGUUUUCCGCGCCGCGGAACAUGCUACCUCGUACGCUUUGGAAAAUAGAUCGCAAGAUUUCACGUGUUUGUGCAUUAUUCCUUCAAGGAACACGUGCCGUGAUAACCUUGUAUUGCCUUCCCCCCUUGAAGCUAUUGUUCUUGCAAUCACAGCAUUAUUGCACUGCACGUAAGUGGAAGCGUUUCGGCCAGUCGCCAGCGGUUGAAUCAGUCUGUUUUGAAACGCUGAAGUGUGAGGACGUGGGCCGCGGAUCUCAAGUAAUUUGCGUUUUGUCUUCGGGAUUGUAACGUUUUUGAGGCUUUUACUACUGUUCGCAGACACGCAUUAUGAGCGCCGAUAGGAAGAUUACCAACGCACGUAACGUUACCAACGGCGCUGGGUGCCAAACGUUGUAUUUCUUACAGAUGAAUCUCGUACGAAGUGACAGGUGGUGAGAACACAAGGUGGUGAAAACCCAAUCUCUCCAGUUAGUUGGUGGCUUACGCAAGCAAGGGAAACUAGACGGUGCAUCGCAGGUCCCGAAGUAUACGUAAAACAGAUGAACUUGAUCACCGAGAAGCAGAGUUCCUAAAGAAUAUUUUUCAUCGCCGCUGUACGGACAUUGCGAAUAUGUGUCCCAUGAGUUCACGCUUUGUGGAAUACGACAGUAUGUGUUGAUGAUGACUCGUACGCUUUCGUAGACAUGUAAGUGCUAAAUCUAGUUUCUGUUGGUGCAAUUUACCGUUUCGUGUAGUUUCUUGCGAGCGAUCCUUCAACAAAUAUUAGAUAUUCACAAUUCUGUAAGACAUUUGAAAUAACUGUUACAAUAGUCUGAUAGCAGUGUGCAUGCCUUGAGUGUAUCUGUACA